rnacentral:rRNA from 1 species
GCGCAGCAGGCGAGAAACUUCACACUGUGCGAAAGCACGAUGAGGGAAUCCCAAGUGCUUGCACGUAAGUGUAAGCUGUUUCUCUGUCUAAAACGCAGAGAGAGUAAGGGCUGGGUAAGACGGGUGCCAGCCGCCGCGGUAAUACCUGCAGCUCAAGUGGUGACCGUUAUUAUUGGGCCUAAAACGUCCGUAGCCGGUUUAAUAAAUGCCUGGGUAAAUUGUGUAGCUUAACUAUACGAAUUCCGGGUAGGCUGUUAAACUUGAGACCGGGAGAAGUUAGAGGUACUCCUGGGGUAGAGGUGAAAAUUCUGUAAUCCUAGGGGGACCACCAGUGGCGAAGGCGUCUAACUAGAACGGGUCUGACGGUGAGGGACGAAGCCCU